rnacentral:miRNA from 10 species
GGGGGAGGUGGAUGUAGACAUACCUGGUGGAGGUCCGCUGCCCUCUUUCUGUUGUCCUACUGUGAAACACUCAGCAGUGCAAUAUUAAAAGGGCAUCGGCU